GAAUCCGCUUGAGGCGCCUCGUCCUCCGCCCCCUCCCCGGGGCAGGACCAGGCGGCGUAAGAAAACACGAGCCACAAAAUGCUGGAGCUUUCAGCAGCGGUGAGGGCGCAGCUGUAAAUCGAUACUCGGGGACUGGGAGGGGGAUGUUACCGAGUUCGUGUUUCUCUGUCCAGUUGUGAGAGAGAAAAAUUAAACCGCUUUCAAGCAAACGCGCGAGCGCUUGUUACUUAAACGGCUCCCAUCAGUUGGUAUGGACCAUUUUCCAUCUAAAAAUCUAUGUUCUAUGAAUUAAAUUCUCUCCUUUUAAGCAAAUACACGAGUGCUGGAUGACAAUUUUUCUUAGAAAGUGCCUGGGCUAUUUUUUUUGUGCAUGAUACGUACAGGUAGUGUCUGAUGUAGUGGAGGACUUGGACCUUACCUGAUCCUAAAGUGCUGCUGUAACAGAAAUGCUUAAAAAUACUCUAUCUCUACCUUAUCUACAUAAAAAAGGAUAUAGAUAUGGUUUUAGAUAUUAUUAUUCUAAACUGUAUACAGAUAACACCACUUGUUUAAAUAAUGCCAGUCAUGUAACUUAACCAGGCUCUUGUCUUCAGAUUGCAUUUUCAAACUCACUGGCUUUGCAAGUCUUCAGUGAGUUUUUACAAAACACGUUGGCUAGCCUUCAUUUUUUGUUCUUUCCAACAGACAUAGUGAGAAAAUACAAUCACAGAGAUGGAUUUCUUAAUAAUAACUUGAAAUCUUAUGUUUCCCUCUGCAUAGUUGGACCUUUUGUGUUCCCCAUUUUUCUUGUAGAUGUCCUUGUAGAUUUUUAAAUGAUUAGCAAGCAUGAUGAAAAAUUCAGCUCCCCUCUCUCUUUGGAGAUUCUACCUUAAGCACUUGGGUAACUUCCAGCACGUUAGAUUUGGUGUUUCUGUACCAUACUGAAUUCAGAGCUUAAAUCCAGCUGCAUUUUUUUCUCCCUGUAUUAAGUAAAAUCUUGUCUGUAAUAGAUGGCAAACUUGGCAGUGCUGAAAAUGAUGGCACUUUUUAUAUGUGCCACUUCUCACUCAGUCCAGUGUUGUUGGAGUUGGUAGUCUUGACUACAGAUCUAAUUUUCCCAAGACCGGCUUCAUGUUGAUCUAUGAAGUUGCUGCUUAUUUUCUUUCCUAUCUGGAGUAAUUUAACAGAGUUUGUCUGUGUAUCAAAGUGGAUGUCCAGGUGAGAAGAGGCGAAACAAACAAACAAACAAAAUGGAGUACGGCCUGCACACUAUGAGAACAACAACCGCCUCAGCGAAAGUGCAGUCUCAUUGAGACCGCUUCAUUUCCAAGAAGCAGAAGUUAAAGACAUUUCCUAAAAAAAAAAAAAAAAAAGGCUGCGGCCUGUGGUUAUCAGGAGAGGCCAGACCGAGGGUCAAGAGCUUGUAACUAUUGUUCGAACCCUAUAUCUGUUGUGUGGCGUGUAAACCCUAUAAAAACCCUUUCCUACUGAGCACCAGGGUCGCCUCCUCUGACUCCUGCGUGAGUUACGAGACGACCCGGAGCUCCGAAAUAAACCUCACCUCGUGCGUUUGCAUCAAGUCGGCUCCUCGUUUUCCUCUGAGGUGCGCGUCUGCCUGGGUAGAGGAAAGCUUCGCCUUUCAUUUGGGGGCUCGUCCGGGAUCAACGACGAACACCUCAGGAAACGAUGACCCCUUGGAGGACUAGUCGAAUCCCUGAUGUACUCCCAUCAGCCCACAUGGGACGACUGCCAGCAGUUACUUCAAACACUUUUCACCACAG